AGCAAUCACCACCUCCCGUUUCUUGUGGGUGCGUGUUGGAUGUGGGGGCCCUUGCCGCCUCGUCUUGAGAGGCCGCUCCCCUCAAAUGCGUUGGGUCGGGGCCUGUGGGUGCAAACUCGACAAAGAAAAAAUGGGGGUGUUGUACCAACCUCACUCCCUGGACUUUUCGAGGCCCCACUGCUGGCGCCCCCUCCCCCCGGACCCAGCCCUUUGGAAGUGGCGGGUCAAAGCUUUUUUGAA
rnacentral:misc_RNA from 1 species